UUGGACAUAGGACUCGACCCAGCCUGAGGCCACCCCCUGCGCAAUCUGUAACCAGAGCUCCGCUUCGUUUCCAUCUACGAUAGCCAGUGGGUUGGUUCCAUUGCAGCCCGAGCCGCUGCGUCCCGACGGGCGUAAACCUACGAGGCUUCUCACCCCGAUACCGCCGUUAUCAGUCUCAUCCCGACCCCCUGCGUAUACUUUCCUCUUCCUUCCCGUUCUCUUCGUCGUCGUCUGGGCUCCGGCGCUCCGAUCAUCUCUGGUUAGUUCUUUAACCUAACCCUAACCCUAACCCUAACCCUAACCCUAACCCUUGUUCUGAUCUAUCUUAUCACUGGAUCCUGGAUCUACAUAUAU
rnacentral:lncRNA from 1 species